rnacentral:rRNA from 1 species
CCUUGACAUACUAAGAACUUUCCAGAGAUGGAUUGGUGCCUUUCGGGAACUUAGAUACAGGUGCUGCAUGGCUGUCGUCAGCUCGUGUCGUGAGAUGUUGGGUUAAGUCCCGNAACGAGCGCAACCCUUUUCCUAUUUGCCAGCGGGUCAUGCCGGGAACUUUAAGGAUACUGCCAGUGACAAACUGGAGGAAGGCGGGGACGACGUCAAGUCAUCAUGGCCCUUACGGCCAGGGCUACACACGUGCUACAAUGGUCGGUACAAAGGGUUGCUACCUCGCGAGAGGAUGCUAAUCUCAAAAAGCCGAUCGUAGUCCGGAUCGCAGUCUGCAACUCGACUGCGUGAAGUCGGAAUCGCUAGUAAUCGCGGAUCAGAAUGCCGCGGUGAAUACGUUCCCGGGCCUUGUACACACCGCCCGUCACACCAUGGGAGUUUGUUGCACCAGAAGUAGGUAGUCUAACCGCAAGGAGGACGCUUACCACGGUGUGGCCGAUGACUGGGGUGAAGUCGUAACAAGGUAGGCGUAGAUGA